CGAAUCCGAUUAAUUCCCUCAACUCCAGUUCCGUUUCGGAUUACGCCGCGCCGGAGAAGUCUUCCCUUUGUUGUCUUCGCCGCGCCGGAGAAGCAAAUCGGACGGAAUCAGAGAGAGAUGGAGCAAAGUAAACACGAGAGAGUCAAUUUGGCGUUUAAUUGUCCAUCCCAAGGGAAAUAACGUUGAUAAUUUGUUUAUGUAUUUGGAAGUAGCUGAAUAUGAAUCUUCCCACUACUCUUAAAUGUUGUCUCCAAUUUAUUUCAAUGACAGGAUCAUAAACACAAGACUGAUGUUUCUGUCAACCAAUAUGGUUUCAAUCCACAAAGCAUUGUUUUCGGGUGUA